rnacentral:rRNA from 1 species
GAUGAACGCUGGCGGCGUGCCUAAUACAUGCAAGUCGAGCGAACGGACGAGAAGCUUGCUUCUCUGAUGUUAGCGGCGGACGGGUGAGUAACACGUGGAUAACCUACCUAUAAGACUGGGAUAACUUCGGGAAACCGUAGCUAAUACCGGAUAAUAUUUUGAACCGCAUGGUUCAAAAGUGAAAGACGGUCUUGCUGUCACUUAUAGAUGGAUCCGCGCUGCAUUAGCUAGUUGGUAAGGUAACGGCUUACCAAGGCAACGAUGCAUAGCCGACCUGAGAGGGUGAUCGGCCACACUGGAACUGAGACACGGUCCAGACUCCUACGGGAGGCAGCAGUAGGGAAUCUUCCGCAAUGGGCGAAAGCCUGACGGAGCAACGCCGCGUGAGUGAUGAGGGUCUUCGGAUCGUAAAACUCUGUUAUUAGGGAAGAACAUAUGUGUAAGUAACUGUGCACAUCUUGACGGUACCUAAUCAGAAAGCCACGGCUAACUACGUGCCAGCAGCCGCGGUAAUACGUAGGUGGCAAGCGUUAUCCGGAAUUAUUGGGCGUAAAGCGCGCGUAGGCGGUUUUUUAAGUCUGAUGUGAAAGCCCACGGCUCAACCGUGGAGGGUCAUUGGAAACUGGAAAACUUGAGUGCAGAAGAGGAAAGUGGAAUUCCAUGUGUAGCGGUGAAAUGCGCAGAGAUAUGGAGGAACACCAGUGGCGAAGGCGACUUUCUGGUCUGUAACUGACGCUGAUGUGCGAAAGCGUGGGGAUCAAACAGGAUUAGAUACCCUGGUAGUCCACGCCGUAAACGAUGAGUGCUAAGUGUUAGGGGGUUUCCGCCCCUUAGUGCUGCAGCUAACGCAUUAAGCACUCCGCCUGGGGAGUACGACCGCAAGGUUGAAACUCAAAGGAAUUGACGGGGACCCGCACAAGCGGUGGAGCAUGUGGUUUAAUUCGAAGCAACGCGAAGAACCUUACCAAAUCUUGACAUCCUUUGACAACUCUAGAGAUAGAGCCUUCCCCUUCGGGGGACAAAGUGACAGGUGGUGCAUGGUUGUCGUCAGCUCGUGUCGUGAGAUGUUGGGUUAAGUCCCGCAACGAGCGCAACCCUUAAGCUUAGUUGCCAUCAUUAAGUUGGGCACUCUAAGUUGACUGCCGGUGACAAACCGGAGGAAGGUGGGGAUGACGUCAAAUCAUCAUGCCCCUUAUGAUUUGGGCUACACACGUGCUACAAUGGACAAUACAAAGGGCAGCGAAACCGCGAGGUCAAGCAAAUCCCAUAAAGUUGUUCUCAGUUCGGAUUGUAGUCUGCAACUCGACUACAUGAAGCUGGAAUCGCUAGUAAUCGUAGAUCAGCAUGCUACGGUGAAUACGUUCCCGGGUCU